rnacentral:rRNA from 1 species
AUGAAUGUGAAUGAAGAUUAUGGAGAACUUUCUUCAGUAGCAAGGCCGACAAAUUUCAUAGUGCAGGCAGGGGUUUGGAAGUACAUGCCGCAGUAUAUAUGGUGGAAGGAUGGAAGGCUGCAUGCCUCCCCUAUCUUUCCAUGGUACAGAGAAAUGCAAUCGCAAUCAAGCACUAAAUAUGUUGCAAUGGACAUGACCCCAAAACUUUCUCCCUCUCUUUUAUUUGAGGCACACUUUACGCUGCUCGGUCGACUAGGCCGUCGCGACGCUGUGGGAGAAGGACAUCGGUGCAGAGCAUGGCAAAGCUGA